rnacentral:rRNA from 1 species
AUUGAACGCUGGCGGCAGGCCUAACACAUGCAAGUCGGGCGAGCGGAGGACGGGUGAGUAAUGUAUGGGGAUCUGCCUGAUGGAGGGGGAUAACUACUGGAAACGGUAGCUAAUACCGCAUACCAUCAGAUGAACCCAUAUGGGAUUAGCUUGUAGGUGAGGUAACGGCUCACCUAGGCGACGAUCCCUAGCUGGUCUGAGGGGAUGAUCAGCCACACUGGAACGUAGACAGGCCCCAGACACCUACGGGGGGCAGAAGUGGGGAAUGUUGCACAAGGGGCGCAAGCCUGAUGCAGCCAUGCGGCGUGUAUGAAGAAGGCCUUCGGGUUGUAAAGUACUUUCAGUCGGGAGGCGUUACCAACAGAAUAAGCACCGGCUAACUUCGUGCCAGCAGCCGCGGUAAUAC